AUGUGGGUAGUCCCGUUGGUACUCCUUCAAACGAAUCCAAGCAGCCUUGAAAGCUUCAGCUGGACCUUGUGUGAAGGUAGACAACUUGUUUCUCAACUCCUCAGACUUAGCAUCAUCGUAGAAAUUGUUCAAGAAGGCUAUCUUGAUGCUUCUCCAAGUCUUGAGGGAACCUGCUUUAAGUUGUUUAAGCCACGA
rnacentral:sRNA from 1 species